UUCCUCCUCAGCCAGGGCUGGAGGCCAAGAUGAUCUCUGAGUGGCAUCGUCGUCAGGACUGCCAUGAGCGGGCAGCCUUGUUUUCCGGCCUCAGACAUUG